UACGUAGGUGACCAGCGUUGUCCGGAUUUACUGGGCGUAAAGAGCGCGCAGGCGGUCGUUCAAGUCGAGUGUGAAAGCCCCCGGCUCAACUGGGGAGGGUCAUUCGAUACUGAUCGACUCGAAGGCAGGAGAGGGAAGCGGAAUUCCCGGUGUAGUGGUGAAAUGCGUAGAUAUCGGGAGGAACACCAGUGGCGAAGGCGGCUUCCCGGCCUGUUCUUGACGCUGAGGCGCGAAAGCUAGGGGAGCAAACGGG
rnacentral:rRNA from 1 species